rnacentral:rRNA from 1 species
AAUCGCUAGUAAUCGCGCAUCAGCCAUGGCGCGGUGAUUACGUUCCCGGGCCUUGUACACACCGCCCGUCAAGCCAUGGAAGCCGGGGGUACCUGAAGAUGGUGACUUUACUGGGAGCUAUCUAAGGUAAAACUGGUGACUGGGGCUAAGUCGUAACAAGG